CACGGAGUUAGCCGGGGCUUAUUCUCCCGGUACUGUCAUUAUCAUCCCGGGUAAAAGAGCUUUACAACCCUAAGGCCUUCUUCACUCACGCGGCAUUGCUGGAUCAGGCUUUCGCCCAUUGUCCAAUAUUCCCCACUGCUGCCUCCCGUAGGAGUCUGGGCCGUGUCUCAGUCCCAGUGUGGCUGAUCAUCCUCUCAGACCAGCUACGGAUCGUCGCCUUGGUAGGCCUUUACCCCACCAACUAGCUAAUCCGACGCGGGCUCAUCCCUAGGCGAUAAAUCUUUGGCCUUGCGGCAUCAUACGGUAUUAGCAGUCAUUUCUAACUGUUAUUCCGUACCUAAGGGCAGAUUCCCACGUGUUACGCACCCGUGCGCCACUAAGCCCGAAGGCUUCGUUCGACUUGCAUGUGUUAGGCAUGCCGCCAGCGUUCGUUCUGAGCCAGGAUCAACUAC
rnacentral:rRNA from 1 species